UACGUAGGGUGCAAGCGUUGUCCGGAAUUAUUGGGCGUAAAGAGCUCGUAGGCGGUCUGUCGCGUCGGCUGUGAAAUCCCGGAGCUCAACUCCGGGUCUGCAGUCGAUACGGGCAAACUGGAGUGCUGCAGGGGAGACUGGAAUUCCUGGUGUAGCGGUGAAAUGCGCAGAUAUCAGGAGGAACACCGGUGGCGAAGGCGGGUCUCUGGGCCGAUACUGACGCUGAGGAGCGAAAGCGUGGGGAGCGAACAGG
rnacentral:rRNA from 1 species